rnacentral:lncRNA from 1 species
GUGGAGAACGUUAAGUCCAGCUCCCUGGAGGCAGAAUUCAUCUCUGCGGUUUCCCUUCCAGAGCAUGUGGCCGGCAUCUCCACUAAGACGAAUCACAGCAGGGCAGGCCUGAAAAGACAUAUUUUGGAGAACAUGUAUUGACUGUUCCAGCUGUGAGCAUGCUUCCUGCCCUCCCUCCAGGCUGCCCAGCAGUGCCGCUGCUGCAAAUCCAGGGGUUGCUGAGAGGACGGACUGCUCACAGGGCAGCUGCUGAGGUACAGAACCCACAGGUCGGGGACACGGUCACUGCCAGCUGCCACUCAAGAAAGAAGACGUGGCAGGAAGUUGCUG